rnacentral:rRNA from 1 species
CUACGGGGGGCUGCAGUGGGGAAUUUUGCGCAAUGGGGGAAACCCUGACGCAGCAAUACCGCGUGAGUGAAGAAGGCCUUUGGGUCGUAAAGCUCUUUUCUUGGGGAAGAUAGUGACGGUACCCAAGGAAUAAGCACCGGCUAACUCCGUGCCAGCAGCCGCGGUAAUACGGAGGGUGCAAGCGUUGUUCGGAUUUACUGGGCGUAAAGGGCACGUAGGCGGCACAGCAAGUUAAGGGUGAAAUCCCGGGGCUCAACUCCGGAAUUGCUCUUAAAACUGCUGAGCUAGAGAUAGUCGGAGGCGGGUGGAAUUCCAGGUGUAGAGGUGAAAUUCGUAGAUAUCUGGAGGAACACCGGUGGCGAAGGCGGCCCGCUGGGGCUAUUCUGACGCUAAGGUGCGAAAGCGUGGGGAGCAAACGGGAUUAGAUACCCUGGUAGUC